rnacentral:rRNA from 1 species
AUUGAACGCUGGCGGCAUGCCUAACACAUGCAAGUCGAACGGCAGCACGGCAGUAGCAAUACUGUGGGUGGCGAGUGGCGGACGGGUGAGGAAUACGUCGGAAUCUGCCCAGUCGUGGGGGAUAACUAGCCGAAAGGUUAGCUAAUACCGCAUACGACCGAGAGGUGAAAGCGGGGGACCGCAAGGCCUCGCGCGAUUGGAUGAGCCGACGUCGGAUUAGCUAGUUGGUGGGGUAAAGGCCCACCAAGGCGACGAUCCGUAGCUGGUCUGAGAGGAUGAUCAGCCACACUGGAACUGAGACACGGUCCAGACUCCUACGGGAGGCAGCAGUGGGGAAUAUUGGACAAUGGGCGCAAGCCUGAUCCAGCAAUGCCGCGUGUGUGAAGAAGGCCU